rnacentral:rRNA from 1 species
AACGAACGCUGGCGGCAUGCCUAACACAUGCAAGUCGAACGAGACCUUCGGGUCUAGUGGCGCACGGGUGCGUAACGCGUGGGAACCUGCCCUGAGGUUCGGAAUAACUCAGAGAAAUUUGAGCUAAUACCGGAUAAUGUCUUCGGACCAAAGAUUUAUCUCCUUUGGAUGGGCCCGCGGAGGAUUAGCUUGGUGGUGGGGUAAUGGCCUACCAAGGCGACGAUCCUUAGCUGGUCUGUGAGGAUGAUCAGCCACACUGGGACUGAGACACGGCCCAGACUCCUACGGGAGGCAGCAGUGGGGAAUAUUGGACAAUGGGCGAAAGCCUGAUCCAGCAAUGCCGCGUGAGUGAUGAAGGCCUUAGGGUUGUAAAGCUCUUUUACCAGGGAUGAUAAUGACAGUACCUGGAGAAUAAGCUCCGGCUAACUCCGUGCCAGCCGCCGCGGUAAAAC